rnacentral:misc_RNA from 1 species
AAGGAUAUAUUCGGAACACCUCDUAGAGGUGAAGGAAUAACGUGACAUAUUGUAUUCAGUUUUGAAURUUUAUAAUAAGCAUUCAACGAUUUAAUGGGCCUGUAGCUCAGCUGGUUAGAGCGCACGCCUGAUAAGCGUGAGGUCGGUGGUUCGAGUCCACUCAGGCCCACCAUUAAAUGAUUGUACAUUGAAAACUAGAUAAGUAAGUAAAUUARAUUUUACCAAGCAAAACCGAGUGAAUUAGAGUGUUAAAGCUUUGAAUUCAUUAAAAAUAUAAUCGCUAGUGUUCGAAAGAACACUCACAAGAUUAAUAACAGGUUUUAAACUUGCACUUUAAAUUGUUUAUCAUUKUGAUAGCUAUUUAGAGUCUGGUGGAAAACAUA